rfam:Schistosoma curassoni strain Dakar, Senegal genome assembly, scaffold: SCTD_scaffold0000517
AUCCAGCUGAAGAGUCCCAAAUAGGACGGAACGCGCGUCAAACUGGAU